rnacentral:rRNA from 1 species
AUUGAACGCUGGCGGCAUGCUUUACACAUGCAAGUCGAACGGUAACAGGCCGCAAGGUGCUGACGAGUGGCGAACGGGUGAGUAAUGCAUCGGAACGUGCCCAGUCGUGGGGGAUAACGCAGCGAAAGCUGCGCUAAUACCGCAUACGAUCUAUGGAUGAAAGCGGGGGACCGUAAGGCCUCGCGCGAUUGGAGCGGCCGAUGUCAGAUUAGGUAGUUGGUGGGGUAAAGGCUCACCAAGCCAACGAUCUGUAGCUGGUCUGAGAGGACGACCAGCCACACUGGGACUGAGACACGGCCCAGACUCCUACGGGAGGCAACAGUGGGGAAUUUUGGACAAUGGGCGCAAGCCUGAUCCAGUAAUGCCGCGUGCAGGAAGAAGGCCUUCGGGUUGUAAACUGCUUUUGUACGGAACGAAACGGUCCUGGUUAAUACCUGGGGCCAAUGACGGUACCGUAAGAAUAAGCACCGGCUAACUACGUGCCAGCCGCCGCAGUAAGAC